GAUCAAGCGUUGAAGGGCUUCUGACGGAUGCCUUGGCGUAGAGAGGCGAUGAAGGACGUGGCAAGCUGCGAUAAGAACCGGGGAGGCGCUAGCACCCUUUGAUCCGGUUAUUUCCGAAUGGGGAAACCCACCUUUGCGGUCUUCCAAUUCAUGUUCGGUCUUCGGACCGGGCGCGGAUUGGCGGAUUGCUUAAAGGUAUAAUGACCUGAAUACAUAGGGUUCAUUAAGCGAACCCGGGGAACUGAAACAUCUCAGUACCCGGAGGAAAGGACAUCAACCGAGACUCCCGUAGUAGUGGCGAGCGAACCGGGACCAGGCCAGUGCUCUUGUGAAAUAAAGUCGAACGAUCUGGAAAGGUCGGCCAUAGCGGGUGACAGCCCCGUAGACGUCAAACAGCAAGAGACUCGAGUAGGGCGGGACACGUGAAAUCCUGUCUGAACAUGGGGGGACCACCCUCCAAGCCUAAGUACUCCUCUACGACCGAUAGUGAACAAGUACCGUGAGGGAAAGGUGAAAAGCACCCCAACGAGGGGAGUGAAACAGAUCCUGAAAUCGGAAGCCUACAAGCAGUCGGAGCCCCCAUGCGGGGUGACGGCGUACCUUUUGUAUAAUGGGUCAGCGACUUCAUGUGUCGAGCAAGCUUAAGCCGUUAGGUGUAGGCGCAGCGAAAGCGAGUCUGAAUAGGGCGCCAAGUUCGACGUAUGACGACCCGAAACCAGGUGAUCUAUCCAUGAGCAGGAUGAAGGUUGGGUAACACCAACUGGAGGUCCGAACCCGUGAAUGUUGAAAAAUUCUGGGAUGACUUGUGGAUAGGGGUGAAAGGCCAAUCAAACCUGGACAUAGCUGGUUCUCCGCGAAAUCUAUUUAGGUAGAGCGUCCGACGAAUUCCUUGGGGGGUAGAGCACUGGAUGGUUGCGGGCUGCGCGAGCGGUACCAAUACUAACCAAACUCCGAAUACCCAAGAGAACUAUCGGGCAGACACACGGCGGGUGCUAACGUCCGUCGUGAAAAGGGAAACAACCCUAACCAUCAUCUAAGGCCCCCAAGUACUGGCUAAGUGGGAAACGAUGUGGGAUUGCUUUGACAAUCAGGAGGUUGGCUUAGAAGCAGCCAUCCUUUAAAGAAAGCGUAACAGCUCACUGAUCAAGCGAUCCUGCGCGGAAAAUGUAACGGGGCUCAAGCCAGUCGCCGAAGGUAUGGGUUUGCAGUUUACUGCAAGCGGUAGCGGAGCGUUCCGUAAGCCGGUGAAGGUCAGGCGUGAGCCUGGCUGGAGGUAUCGGAAGUGAGAAUGCUGACAUGAGUAACGAUAAACAGUGUGAGAAACACUGUCGCCGAAAGACCAAGGGUUCCUGCGUAAAGCUAAUCUGCGCAGGGUUAGUCGGCCCCUAAGGCGAGGCUGAAAAGCGUAGUCGAUGGGAAGCAGGUAAAUAUUCCUGCACCAGCUGGAAGUGACGGAUGGUGUAAGUUGUCAGGGCUUAUUGGAUUGUCCUGGCAGCGAAGCUGUCCCUGGAAAUAACUCCAGCAGAGACCGUACCCGAAACCGACACAGGUGGUCAGGUAGAGCAUACCAAGGCGCUUGAGAGAACUGUGCUGAAGGAACUCGGCAAAUUGCACGCGUAACUUCGGAAUAAGCGUGACUCACCUCGGGCAACCGAGACUGAGUGGCACAAGCCAGGGGGUAGCGACUGUUUAGCAAAAACACAGGGCUCUGCGAAGCAGCAAUGCGACGUAUAGGGUCUGACGCCUGCCCGGUGCCUGAAGGUUAAAGGGAGUUGUGAAAGCGACGAACUGAAGCCCAGGUAAACGGCGGCCGUAACUAUAACGGUCCUAAGGUAGCGAAAUUCCUUGUCGGG
rnacentral:rRNA from 1 species